GGAAAAUAUUAAACUUGGAAAAUAAAUGAAGGCUCACUUACGUUCAGUCCUACAGCUAGCUGCCCUGCCACAAAUAAUGGAAGGAUCAUCGGUUGUCAGCAGGAUUGAUCGUAAAUCUUCCAUAAAAACUAAGCCCAGAACGCUCAGUAUUCAUCAGAUUCGAUACGCCAGAGGAAGCCGUGAAAACGAGAAGCAUGGGGGAAGCCAAGAAUGUGUAUACGGAGGAAUUGGCACCAGUGGAAAGUGGAAGAGAGAAUGAAGGAGACGAGAAAAGAGGCUGAGUACUGGUAUGAUAAACUCCAAUCUCCAUUGCCAAGAUCAUGAUGCGCAUCCUAUUCUUUGAAACUGAUACUGAUUCUACAUUCUUAUUCAAAUUAAUUACACACUCUACUAUCUAAAAUAUUGUGUAUAUAUGCAUAAAUUUGAAGGGGUCAAGGCUUCACAUGCUGCUGCAAAUAGAUGAUCCCAUUCCUGGCCACCUCUUGAGUAGGUUGUAUCCACAUAUGGAAAACCCUCCAACUUAUUUGACAAAGCAUCGUUGGUGCACACACAACUCCACCAAGUCACCUCAGCCUUGACAACAAUGGAGGAGGACCAUAAGCACACAACAGAGCAUUUAGAUCUUUUGCUCCAUGAAGAGGAGCCAGGUACUUUGCAGCUGAAGCAAGACAGACAAGCUUAGGGAAGCUACAUUGUUCUCCUGGUAUAAAAUAAAACAAGCAAUGACAAAAGAACAUGAGCAUGCAAACCCUAAAGCACAAUUUAAAACAAAGACAAAGGCAAAACAAAAGAGUCCAUUCUUCAUAAGAACAGACCAAGUAGUAAACCAAGACAGCAGUUGAUCCUUCAAGGUGCAAUAAACAGUCAAUUUAAUACGCAUAGAAAAACUAGGUUCAAUAGAAUACAUAAAUCAGCAUACCCAGUGUCUUGUUUAAUGGAACCCAUCAAUGAUAUCUGUUCUGACAAUCAGAGAUUUAUCAAAGUAUAAUAUGAUCCACCUCA